rnacentral:rRNA from 1 species
GCAUAUCAAUAAGCGGAGGAAAAGAAUCCAACAGGGAUUGCGUUAGUAACGGCGAGUGAAGCGGCAACAGCCAAAUUUGAAAUCUGGCCCUCGGGUCCGAAUUGUAAUUUGUAGAGGAUGAUUUUGGUGCGGUAUCUUCCGAGUUCCUUGGAACAGGACGCCUUAGAGGGUGAGAGCCCCGUACGGUUGAAUGCCUAGCCUCUGUAAUUCUCCUUCGACGAGUCGAGUAGUUUGGGAAUGCUGCUCUAAAUGGGAGGUAAAUUUCUUCUAAAGCUUAAUAUUGGCCAGAGACCGAUAGCGCACAAGUAGAGUGAUCGAAAGAUGAAAAGCACUUUGAAAAGUGGGUUAAAUAGCACGUGAAAUUGUUGAAAGGGAAGGAUUUGUGACCAGACUUUUUCUGGGCGGAUCAUCCGGGGUUCUCUCCGGUGCACUUUGCCCAGUAAAGGCCAGCAUCGGUUUUCGGCGGCGGAUAAAUGCAGUAGGAAUGUGGCUCCCUACGGGGAGUGUUAUAGCCCAUUGUAUAAUACCGCUGCUGGGGACCGAGGUUCGCGCUUCUGCAAGGAUGCUGG